rnacentral:rRNA from 1 species
GCCAAACAGCUAGCUUACCCACCAAAACUAACCAAACAAUAUAAAUAAAAUAAAAUGGACAAAACACCAAAAACUAAACCAUUCUUUUACCUGAGUAUGGGAGACAGAAAAGGUUCAACCAAAGCAAUAGAAACAGUACCGCAAGGGAAAGCUGAAAGAGAAAUGAAACAACCCAUAUAAGCACAAAAAAGCAAAGAUUAAACCUUG